rnacentral:rRNA from 1 species
AGUCGAACGCGAAAGUCCCCUUCGGGGGGCGAGUAGAGUGGCGCACGGGUGAGUAACACGUAGGUAAUCUACCUUUGGAUUGGGAAUAACCACCGGAAACGGUGGCUAAUACCGAAUAAUGCAGCGGCACCUAAUGGUGACAGUUGUUAAAGCGGGGGAUCGAAAGACCUCGCGUCUGAAGAGGAGCCUGCGGCAGAUUAGCUAGUUGGUAAGGUAACGGCUUACCAAGGCGAUGAUCUGUAGCCGGCCUGAGAGGGCGGUCGGCCACACUGACACUGACAUACGGGUCAGACUCCUACGGGAGGCAGCAGUCGGGAAUUUUGGGCAAUGGGCGAAAGCCUGACCCAGCAACGCCGCGUGAAGGAUGAAAUCCCUCGGGAUGUAAACUUCGCAAGAACGGGAAGAAUAAGUAAGGGUUAAUAUCUCUUACGAUGACGGUACUGUUUGUAAGCUCCGGCUAACUCCGUGCCAGCAGCCGCGGUAAUACGGGGGGAGCAAGCGUUGUUCGGAUUUACUGGGCGUAAAGGGCGCGUAGGCGGCCACCGCAAGUCGACUGUGAAAUCUCCGGGCUUAACCCGGAAAGGUCAGCCGAUACUGCGGGGCUAGAGUGCAGAAGGGGCAACUGGAAUUCUCGGUGUAGCGGUGAAAUGCGUAGAUAUCGAGAGGAACACCUGCGGCGAAGGCGGGUUGCUGGGCUGACACUGACGCUGAGGCGCGAAAGCUAGGGGAGCGAACGGGAUUAGAUACCCCGGUAGUCCUAGCCUUAAACGAUGAAUGCUUGGUGUC